UACGUAGGGGGCAAGCGUUGUCCGGAUUUAUUGGGCGUAAAGAGCGUGUAGGCGGCCAUACAGGUCCGUUGUGAAAACUCGAGGCUUAACCUCGAGACGUCGAUGGAAACCGUAUGGCUAGAGUCCGGGAGAGGUGAGUGGAACUGCGAGUGUAGAGGUGAAAUUCGUAGAUAUUCGCAAGAACACCAGUGGCGAAGGCGGCUCACUGGCCCGGUACUGACGCUGAGGUGCGAAAGCGUGGGGAGCGAACAGG
rnacentral:rRNA from 1 species